rnacentral:lncRNA from 1 species
UAUGCCAGGUGACGCCCUUCGACUUCGCCGGUGGUGAGAGGUGCCAUGGUGCCGUCUCGGCCUUGUAUGUCCUUUUGAAUGUACCCCACGACACACGUGGAUUGUGCGGUCUCGGCACGUGAUGCCUUUCGAUGGCGUUGGUGGUGUAGUGUCAUGGCUUGGUCUCAGCUAUCCAAUGUCGGUCAACUACAAUGGUGUUGCUUUUUGUUUGUGUCAUGUUG